CCUGGUAAAAGACAUGAUUUUCCAGUAUACCAGUUCUGAGAGCCUCCUAGAAAGAAAGGCUUGCCCUGUUUUCUUUUCUUCCUUUGAAUUUGGCAGCUAAGAGGCUGUGAAGGUGGACUCCAUUUCUUCUGAUGAAGUUUCACUAAUGGCUUGACAUCUGCAAAUUAAACAGAAUUCUCAUUAUGGAGAAUACAGAGGGACUAUAUCUUCUAGCUGACUCUACAGAGAUGUCUUGGAUGACAAAUUGCCAGCCAUUCUUUCCCCUUUUGCCUUGUGGAUGGAGACUAACUGCACAGUGAUUUAAUGAAGCUGCCUUGUAGUUGUGCCUGGAGCUACA